rnacentral:antisense_RNA from 1 species
GAUAGUGUUCCAGACAGUUUUAUCAUCCACAUUGCUGACCUGGAAGAUGCAUCAUUGUCUAUGAUAUCUGCAAUGGAAAUGAUCACUAGGCAAUUUCAGCCUUGCAAAUCUAACUGUGGCAUGUGGAAAAAAGAGGAACCAGAAAACAAUAUGUUUGUGAAGUUCUGGCUUGAAUCUCGUGCCAGGAGUGUAAAGAAGGUCCUUGCUUCCCCUUCACCUUCUGCCAUGAUUGUAAGUUUCCUGAGGCCUCCCAGCCAUGCUUCCUGUUAAGCCUGUGAAACUCCUUUGGAAUGAAUACACAUCCAGGAGUGAAGAAGACAAGCUCAACUGCCAUUCUGUGAGCAGUUCAAGGCAUAUUGAGUUGCAGGAGUUGUGUGGUGGUCCACUCUGAUGGCAAGCACCCCUUUCUUGAACCGAACAGAGUCAAGUGGAAUCAAAGGACAUUACCUGUUGAUUCUUGGGCAAGGCCCAGAAUUUGGUGGACAUACUUAAAGAAGAAAGGAAUCUUCAGCUAAAGUGUCUACGAUCAAGUCACAUUUGGAGGGCAUGGAUCUUCUGACAGUAGGGGCCAUUCUAGGAUUUUUUGGUUGAAGAGAUGAACUUCAACUUGGUUCCAGAUGGGUGGUCCAGCUAUUCUGCUGACAACAUUUUUCAGGGCAAGGCUUUUGCUACCGGAAUGAUUUAAGGAAGAUCCCUCAGUGUUUCAGAGUAAAGAUACUUCUUUAGCAAAAGAAGUACCUGUGUCAUUGCCCAUCUUGAAGACUGACUUUUAUGGAUUGCUCAAAUACUGAUAUCAGCUCGAUGUCAAUAUAUACUCUUACAUAUAAAAUCCAUCUUCUAAUCAUAAUCACUAGGUUUGAACCAUUUAAGGCCAUGAGGUGUGAGGUCUUUUGAGGGUGAAAGAACUCAUAUUAAUCCAGCUCCUGACUCAUAAAAAAAAAGUAACUCUUGUGAUUACAAUGGGCAGAGUCCAUCAAGAAGCAGUGCCCAGAAGCACUGGGCCGUGUGGCGGGCAGCGGUGUCACCAGGAAACAUGCUGAGCUGGGUCAGGAACUGCACGAGGAGGAGGAGACACUGCUCCCGUUGAAGGCAGCCCUUGCAUGACCUGCUGAAUCACAUCAAGGUUGAAGCAUUGGCCCUCCAAUCAAUGAUUAGUUGUAGGAGAGGGGAUGAGGUGCUGUCUUCUCCAACUUCUCCAACUGCGCCUGAACAGUCACACGUCAUGUCGGUGCAUAUAGACAAUGAAGCAUCAGUCAACCAAACUACACUGGAGUGGAGCCUAGAGUCCUGUGACAGAAGAAGAAGAGGAAGAGAAAGAAGAAUCAGAUUCCUAAGGGAGGGAAAAAGCCAGGAUUCAUUAUACAAAUUAAAUUUCUAAGUCUCAGGCUCUUUCUCCCCAAGGAAAUCAUCUUGCCAUGAGCCCUAGGGCCUGCUUGAAUGGAGAGCAAGAACUGUAGGAGGAUGUGUAGUUGCAAAAAUUUCUCAUCAGUAACUCAAUCUUCAGAACGUUAUGGCAUACAGAAAAUCAAAGGUGCUGUGUCUUAGCAUUGAGCAAUAUGGGUGGUGCUAUGUCUGUAGUCUGGUCAAAUUCAGUAACUGUGUUCAAAACAAAAUUUCCUCUGGAAUACUAUUGAGAAAAUCUGGCAUUUGCAAAAAGGGCAGAGUUUAAAUAUGGGCCAGUCUUUCCAAUCAACAAUACCUCUUUUAAGAAAACCAACUAACAGCUGUUUGCAUGCCGCUGAAUCCCUGUGAGCAGUUAGGCCACAGUCUAGGACAGAAAGAUGACACAGGGAAGGACUGAGGGCCAUGUGAGAACAAAAGUUGUUGCUACUUCUCAGAGGCAUUGAGACACACUGCAUGCUGUAGACUGCUUUGUGUAGCUGUUAUCACAUCUUGCUUGAGAUGUCAUUGGUAGAAUGUUCUUAGAAAUAAAUUAUAGAUAAAUAGCCA